GGGUGAAAAGCCCGCUCGCCGGAAGACCAAGGGUUCCUGUCCAACGUUAAUCGGGGCAGGGUGAGUCGACCCCUAAGGCGAGGCCGAAAGGCGUAGUCGAUGGGAAACAGGUUAAUAUUCCUGUACUUGGUGUUACUGCGAAGGGGGGACGGAGAAGGCUAUGUUGGCCGGGCGACGGUUGUCCCGGUUUAAGCGUGUAGGCUGGUUUUCCAGGCAAAUCCGGAAAAUCAAGGCUGAGGCGUGAUGACGAGGCACUACGGUGCUGAAGCAACAAAUGCCCUGCUUCCAGGAAAAGCCUCUAAGCAUCAGGUAACAUCAAAUCGUACCCCAAACCGACACAGGUGGUCAGGUAGAGAAUACCAAGGCGCUUGAGAGAACUCGGGUGAAGGAACUAGGCAAAAUGGUGCCGUAACUUCGGGAGAAGGCACGCUGAUAUGUAGGUGANNNNNNNNNNNNNNNNNNNNNNNNNNNNNNNNNNNNNNNNNGUCCCUCGCGGAUGGAGCUGAAAUCAGUCGAAGAUACCAGCUGGCUGCAACUGUUUAUUAAAAACACAGCACUGUGCAAACACGAAAGUGGACGUAUACGGUGUGACGCCUGCCCGGUGCCGGAAGGUUAAUUGAUGGGGUCAGCGCAAGCGAAGCUCUUGAUCGAAGCCCCGGUAAACGGCGGCCGUAACUAUAACGGUCCUAAGGUAGCGAAAUUCCUUGUCGGGUAAGUUCCGACCUGCACGAAUGGCGUAAUGAUGGCCAGGCUGUCUCCACCCGAGACUCAGUGAAAUUGAACUCGCUGUGAAGAUGCAGUGUACCCGCGGCAAGACGGAAAGACCCCGUGAACCUUUACUAUAGCUUGACACUGAACAUUGAGCCUUGAUGUGUAGGAUAGGUGGGAGGCUUUGAAGUGUGGACGCCAGUCUGCAUGGAGCCGACCUUGAAAUACCACCCUUUAAUGUUUGAUGUUCUAACGUGGACCCGUGAUCCGGGUUGCGGACAGUGUCUGGUGGGUAGUUUGACUGGGGCGGUCUCCUCCUAAAGAGUAACGGAGGAGCACGAAGGUUGGCUAAUCCUGGUCGGACAUCAGGAGGUUAGUGCAAUGGCAUAAGCCAGCUUGACUGCGAGCGUGACGGCGCGAGCAGGUGCGAAAGCAGGUCAUAGUGAUCCGGUGGUUCUGAAUGGAAGGGCCAUCGCUCAACGGAUAAAAGGUACUCCGGGGAUAACAGGCUGAUACCGCCCAAGAGUUCAUAUCGACGGCGGUGUUUGGCACCUCGAUGUCGGCUCAUCACAUCCUGGGGCUGAAGUAGGUCCCAAGGGUAUGGCUGUUCGCCAUUUAAAGUGGUACGCGAGCUGGGUUUAGAACGUCGUGAGACAGUUCGGUCCCUAUCUGCCGUGGGCGCUGGAGAACUGAGGGGGGCUGCUCCUAGUACGAGAGGACCGGAGUGGACGCAUCACUGGUGUUCGGGUUGUCAUGCCAAUGGCACUGCCCGGUAGCUAAAUGCGGAAGAGAUAAGUGCUGAAAGCAUCUAAGCACGAAACUUGCCCCGAGAUGAGUUCUCCCUGACNNNNNNNNNNNNNNNNNNNNNNNNNNNNNNNNNNNNNNNNNGUCCUGAAGGAACGUUGAAGACGACGACGUUGAUAGGCCGGGUGUGUAAGCGCAGCGAUGCGUUGAGCUAACCGGUACUAAUGAACCGUGAGGCUUAACCUU
rnacentral:rRNA from 1 species